rnacentral:lncRNA from 1 species
AAAUGCAUUGGAAAUCUUAAUAUGUCUACUUCAAAUGUUAUGUUGAGAAAAAUUUCAAAAUCUCAAAGGAAAUACAUGUGAUAAUGCAAGACAUUAUAGGUCCUUUUUGACCAAAUGCAUUAAAAGGCAAAAAAGUCCAACUUCAAGUGCCCAAUGAGAAAAAUUUCAAAAUCUCAAAGGAAAUACAUGUGAUAAUGCAAGACAUUAUAGGUCCUUUUUGACCAAAUGCAUUAAAAGGCAAAAAAGUCCAACUUCAAGUGCCCAUAACUUC